UACGUAGGGGGCAAGCGUUGUCCGGAUUUAUUGGGCGUAAAGAGCGUGUAGGCGGCCAGGUAGGUCUGCUGUGAAAACUCGAGGCUCAACCUCGAGACGUCGGCGGAAACCAUCUGGCUAGAGUCCGGAAGAGGAGAGCGGAAUUCCUGGUGUAGCGGUGAAAUGCGCAGAUAUCAGGAAGAACACCCGUGGCGAAGGCGGCUCUCUGGGACGGUACUGACGCUGAGACGCGAAAGCGUGGGGAGCGAACAGG
rnacentral:rRNA from 1 species